UGGGGAAUAUUGCGCAAUGGACGAAAGUCUGACGCAGCGACGCCGCGUGUGGGAUGAAGCUUUUCGGAGUGUAAACCACUGUUGCUCGGGACGAACAUCCCCUUUCGAGGGGACUGACGGUACCGAGUGAGGAAGCACCGGCUAACUCUGUGCCAGCAGCCGCGGUAAUACAGAGGGUGCGAGCGUUGUCCGGAAUCACUGGGCGUAAAGGGCGCGUAGGUGGCUUGGUAAGCGUGCGGUGAAAGCUCGGGGCUCAACCCCGAGUCGGCCGUGCGAACUGCCGAGCUUGAGCAUGGUAGAGGCAGGUGGAAUUCCGGGUGUAGCGGUGGAAUGCGUAGAUAUCCGGAAGAACACCGGUGGCGAAGGCGGCCUGCUGGGCCAUUGCUGACACUGAGGCGCGACAGCGUGGGGAGCAAACAGG
rnacentral:rRNA from 1 species